rnacentral:rRNA from 1 species
UACGGGGGGAGCAAGCGUUGUUCGGAUUUACUGGGCGUAAAGGGCGCGUAGGCGGCGUAACAAGUCACUUGUGAAAUCUCCGGGCUUAACCCGGAGCGGCCAAGUGAUACUGUUGUGCUAGAGUGCGGAAGGGGCUACUGGAAUUCUCGGUGUAGCGGUGAAAUGCGUAGAUAUCUGGAGGAACACCGGUGGCGAAGGCGGCAUCCUGGACCGGCAUUGACGCUGAGGAGCGAAAGCCAGGGGAGCAAACGGG